CUUGCAGUUUGAUCUCAGACUGCUGUGCUAGCAAUCAGGGAGAUUCCGUGGGCGUAGGACCCUCCAAGCCAGGUGUGGGAUAUAGUCUAGUGGUGCGCCGUUUUUUAAGCCUGUCGGAAAAGCGCAGUAUUCUGGUGGGAGUGACCCGAUUUUCCAGGUGCCGUCCGUCACCCCUUUCUUUGACUAGGAAAGGGAACUCCGUGACCCCUUGCGCUUCCUGAGUGAGGCAAUGCCUCGCCCUGCUUCGGCUCUCGCACGGUGCGCGCUCCCACUGACCUGCGCCCACUGUCUGGCACUCCCUAGUGAGAUGAACCCGGUACCUCAGAUGGAAAUGCUGAAAUCACCCGUCUUCUGCGUCGCUCAGGCUGGGAGCUGUAGACCGGAGCUGUUCCUAUUCGGCCAUCUUGUCUCCUCCCCCCAGGUUUGUUUUUCCUCUCUGUCAUACCUCAAGAGGAACACAAAGAGUGAUGGCCUGUCACUCUGAUGCCUCUCUCUACUCAAAUGGCAGAAACCAACCAGGUGAUGGCCACAGUGGCAGAACCUAGGAAGCCAAGAAGAAACCAGAGAAUGGAGACACAUGGCAGCAAUGGCAAGUCAUCAGACCCAGGAUUUCCCAAAGAACACUGGUCCAGGAAGAUGCUCUGUGAAAAAGUGUUCCCUGGUCGGAGAAAUUUGUGAAACACUUUGCAUAAUACUUAAAAGAAUGUAUGGCACAUCAAAGGUAAUAUGCAAUAAAAGAAUUCAUUUUUUUAAAACCAAGCAUAUGCACAACUUAUUUAACUAUGGAUUCGAUUUUUAGAUUCAUAUUUUUUGACCCACAUUUGUGGAGCCACAUCCAUAGAACAGAUUUGACCAUGCUUAUGGUUAUCAUUAAAAAAUUUUUUUAAAUUCAGAUUGAUUUUGGAAUUGGUUUCCCAUCAUAGUUCAA
rnacentral:lncRNA from 10 species